AGCGAACGCUGGCGGCAAGCUUAACACAUGCAAGUCGAACGAUGUAGCAAUACAUAGUGGCGGACGGGUGCAUAACACGUGGGAAUCUGCCUUUAGGUACGGAAUAACUCAGGGAAACUUGAGCUAAUACCGUAUAAAAUCUCCGGAUCAAAGAUUUAUCGCCUAAAGAUGAGCCCGCGUCAGAUUAGCUAGUUGGUGGGGUAACGGCCGACCAAGGCGACGAUCUGUAGCUGGUCUUAGAGGAUGAUCAGCCACACUGGGACUGAGACACGGCCCAGACUCCUACGGGAGGCAGCAGUGGGGAAUAUUGGACAAUGGGGGAAACCCUGAUCCAGCUAUGCCGCGUGAGUGAUGAAGGCCUUAGGGUUGCAAAGCUCUUUUAGAUGGGAAGAUAAUGACGGUACCAUCAGAAAAAGCCCCGGCUAACUUCGUGCCAGCCGCCGCAGUAA
rnacentral:rRNA from 1 species